ACAGGAAUAUCGACGACACGAGAGGCAUCAACAUUAACCAGCAGUCCACACGUUUCAACCACUUCUGCAGAGACGUCAACAACAGGAGAAUCAAAUCCAACAAGUGAGAUCUCCACAAGCGAAUCGACAUCAGUCAACACAGCAGGGACAUCCAUAAGCUCAAAAUCUACCCUGACAUCCACUCAGCCAUCAACAUCAGAAGGAAUAUCGACGACACGAGAGGCAUCAACAUUAACCAGCAGUCCACACGUUUCAACCACUUCUGCAGAGACGUCAACAACAGGAGAAUCAAAUCCAACAAGUGAGAUCUCCACAAGCGAAUCGACAUCAGUCAACACAGCAGGGACAUCCAUAAGCUCAAAAUCUACCCUGACAUCCACUCAGCCAUCAACAUCAGAAGAAUCAAAUCCAACAAGUGAGAUCUCCACAAGCGAAUCGACAUCAGUCAACACAGCAGGGACAUCCAUAAGCUCAAAAUCUACCCUGACAUCCACUCAGCCAUCAACAUCAGAAGGAAUAUCGACGACACGAGAGGCAUCAACAUUAACCAGCAGUCCACACGUUUCAACCACUUCUGCAGAGACGUCAACAACGGGAGGUAAAAGGGAGACAUUGUG